rnacentral:rRNA from 1 species
GAAGAAGGCGGGGGGCGUGCUUAACACAUGCAAGUCGAACGGAAAGGCCCUGCUUUUGUGGGGUGCUCGAGUGGCGAACGGGUGAGUAACACGUGAGUAACCUGCCCUUGACUUUGGGAUAACUUCAGGAAACUGGGGCUAAUACCGGAUAGGAGCUCCUGCUGCAUGGUGGGGGUUGGAAAGUUUCGGCGGUUGGGGAUGGACUCGCGGCUUAUCAGCUUGUUGGUGGGGUAGUGGCUUACCAAGGCUUUGACGGGUAGCCGGCCUGAGAGGGUGACCGGCCACAUUGGGACUGAGAUACGGCCCAGACUCCUACGGGAGGCAGCAGUGGGGAAUAUUGCACAAUGGGCGGAAGCCUGAUGCAGCAACGCCGCGUGCGGGAUGACGGCCUUCGGGUUGUAAACCGCUUUCGCCUGUGACGAAGCGUGAGUGACGGUAAUGGGUAAAGAAGCACCGGCUAACUACGUG